rnacentral:rRNA from 1 species
UGGGGAAUCUUGGACAAUGGGCGCAAGCCUGAUCCAGCCAUGCCGCGUGGAUGAUGAAGGCCUUAGGGUUGUAAAAUCCUUUCGCCGAGGACGAUAAUGACGGUACUCGGAGAAGAAGCUCCGGCUAACUUCGUGCCAGCAGCCGCGGUAAUACGAAGGGGGCUAGCGUUGUUCGGAUUUACUGGGCGUAAAGCGCGUGUAGGCGGGUCGUUAAGUUGGGGGUGAAAUCCCGAGGCUCAACCUCGGAACUGCCUUCAAAACUGGCGACCUGGACCUAAGUAGAGGCAAGUGGAAUUGCGAGUGUAGAGGUGAAAUUCGUAGAUAUUAGGAAGAACACCAGUGGCGAAGGCGGCCAACUGGCUCGAUACUGACGCUGAGGUGCGAAAGCGUGGGGAGCAAACAGGAUUAGAUACCCUUGUAGUCCCUGAGCGGGCUGGCAAGGCGCAU